AGUCGAGGGGCAUCAGUUUGGUUUGCUUGCAAACCAAAGCUGGCGACCGGCGCACGGGUGAGUAACACGUAUCCAACCUGCCUCAUACUCGGGGAUAGCCUUUCGAAAGAAAGAUUAAUAUCCGAUAGCAUAUAUUUCCCGCAUGGGUUUUAUAUUAAAGAAAUUCGGUAUGAGAUGGGGAUGCGUUCCAUUAGUUUGUUGGCGGGGUAACGGCCCACCAAGACUACGAUGGAUAGGGGUUCUGAGAGGAAGGUCCCCCACAUUGGAACUGAGACACGGUCCAAACUCCUACGGGAGGCAGCAGUGAGGAAUAUUGGUCAAUGGACGCGAGUCUGAACCAGUCAAGUAGCGUGAAGGAUGACUGCCCUAUGGGUUGUAAACUUCUUUUAUAUGGGAAUAAAGUGGUCCACGUGUGGAUUUUUGUAUGUACCAUAUGAAUAAGGAUCGGCUAACUCCGUGCCAGCAGCCGCGGUAAUACGGAGGAUCCGAGCGUUAUCCGGAUUUAUUGGGUUUAAAGGGAGCGUAGGCGGAUUGUUAAGUCAGUUGUGAAAGUUUGCGGCUCAACCGUAAAAUUGCAGUUGAUACUGGCAGUCUUGAGUGCAGUAGAGGUGGGCGGAAUUCGUGGUGUAGCGGUGAAAUGCUUAGAUAUCACGAAGAACUCCGAUUGCGAA
rnacentral:rRNA from 1 species